rnacentral:lncRNA from 1 species
UAAAUUGUGGGAGCUAAGAACAUAAAGUACAUUGAUUUCUUUAUUACAGCUAGCAGAUAUUUAAUAAUGUUAGCACAGGUCUUUGAAUAAAUUUUGCUUCUAAGAAAAGUUACUAUUUACUCCUAAUUAGACGGAGACGAAAGUCUUUGAAGAGGAACCUCUACUUUACUUUUUACAAAGAUGUCAUGAAAAAGGAAUGCUAUUAAAAAAUCGGAGACAAACAAAGGCUCCUAGAAAUUAAAAAUUAAGUUAGAUCAUCUGAAAUUAAAAUUUUAAAUUAAGAUGAGGAGAUAUAAUGAAGUUUCCCACUAAAUAAUAUGAAAAAACAAAAUUAAAAACCAAAAAAAUGGAAUGGACAAUAACAGGGCCCACUGAAUAUCCAAAUGAUGAGUUCAAAAAGACCCUCACGAAGACAUAGACUCAUGAAAUUUCAGAACACUGAAGAAAAUGAAAGAGGAAAAAGAAAAAGAAGAAAAAAUAUGUCAUAUCAAAAGGAUCAGGUAUCACAAUAGCUGUUGAUCUUCUCAUCAACAAUGGAACAAAGACUUUAAAUUUCUGAAAGGUGACAACUGGCAACCUAGAAUUGCACAUCUAGACAAAUUAUAAAGUGAAUGUAAGAUCAGAUUAAAAACCACUUAAGAGAAAAAGAGCUCAAAUAUAAUAUUUCCCUGCAUCUUUUCUCAGAAAGCAAAGAGUAGAUGUGCUCCACCAAAAUGAAGGAAUAAACUAAGAACUCUGAGGAUGGCAUGGGAUCCAACACAGGAAAGAGAAGCCAUGAAGCAAAUCUACUGCAUGAGAUUGUGCACUUUGACCUCUGCUGAGCAGGUGAGAGCAGGGCUAAGACUCAGCUGCUCCCCAAGCCAAGAUACUCAUGGAACUAAGCCUGGGCACGAUUUCUCAUUGGCCUACAUAGAGAGGAUCCUUUUUGCAACUGGACUUAUCAGAGGACGUACCUUUUAUCUAGUUCACAGAAGAUGCUCUAUAUCCUAGUUGCACUUCUGAUUGUCUGCCUAAAUAAGUCUCUAUUUUAAUAUUUUGAUUAAUUUGCAUUUGGACAAAACUAUAAGACUAUGAGCAGUGCUCUAAUCUGUAAGAUCAUGACCUAUAUUUACAGAUUAAUGACAAAUGUCCAGUGACUUACCAGGAAUGUGUUUCCACAGUGCCCACACACGACCCUUGUACCUUCUGGUUGGAUUGGCAAUGCAGGCUGAGCUGGUUGUUCUUCAGAAAUAAGCAUUACUGGGCCAAGGUUAAUUAUCCGUCUACUGUGAAAAGAGAAAGGAAACAACUUCACUAUCCCACAAAUGGACUGAGAGCAAAACCUGCAACAUAUGGCCAAAAAUAUGAAAUGUGCUAUACUUGUUUCAUAAAUUAAGUGAAUUAAAUGUCAAGCUGGAGGCAAAACUACAAAGAGUAGCAACAGUCAGUUUUUC